AUUCGCCUUCAUGAAGUCGGAAUUGCUAGUAAUGGCAGGUCAGCAUACUGCCGUGAAUACGUUCCCGGGGCCUUGUACACACCGCCCGUCACACCAUGAGAGUUGGAGAUACCCGAAGCCUAUGAGCUAACUUUUAGAGGCAGUAGUCGAAGGUAGAAUCAAUGAUUGGGGUGAAGUCGUAACAAGGUAUC
rnacentral:rRNA from 1 species